rnacentral:rRNA from 1 species
UUUUAAAUGGCUGCAGUAUUUUGACUGUACAAAGGUAGCAUAAUCAUUUGUCUUUUAAUUGGAGGCUAGUAUGAAUGGUUGGAUGAAAAAUAUACUUUCUUUAUUUUAUAUUAAAAAAAUUAACUUUUUAGUCAAAAGGCUAAAAUAAUAUUAUAGGACGAGAAGACCCUAUAGAACUUUAUUUAUUAUUAUUCACGAUUUUUAUAGAUUAGGAUAAAUUUAUGGAUAAAUAUAAAUUAUGUUGGGGUGACAGAAAAAAUAAUAUAACUUUUUCUAUUUUUUUCAUUUAUAUGUGUUGUUUUUGAUCCUAUAUUAUGGAUAGUAAGAUUAAGUUACCUUAGGGAUAACAGCGUUAUUUUCUUUGAGAGUUCUUAUCGAUAAGAAAGUUUGCGACCUCGAUGUUGGAUUAAAAUAAGUGACGG